rnacentral:lncRNA from 1 species
ACAGUCCAAUUUAAUGUACAAAAAAAAUACAAUUUUUAGCACAUAUAAAAAUGUUAUCGAAAUCUUAAUAUAGUGUCCACAAGUCAUGAAGAUACACAACGACAUACAUAUAAUAUCCAAAUGUGUCCUUACAUUACAUCCAGGAAAAGUGGACCACCAAAUGCAUUUGUCUUGCCAUACAUGUACAUCACACAUCCAGCAAGGUCAAGCACCAAAAGAAUUACAGUAGUACUUUGUCUUGUCAUACAUCACACAUCCAGCAAGGUCAAGCACCAAAAGGAUUAGAGACUAGUACUUUGUGUUCUCGAUUCUCAGGUUUGUGCACAGAAUCUCAUUUCUAGGUCUAAGAACUCAAAGCCAAAAGGAAUGACUUGCCAAAAGGUAGAGCUCAUCCAUCAGGAGAAUAAUAUUCUAGAAACUCAAGUCAAAGGCUAGUUUGGAGCACUUCCUGGAAAACAGAACCAUGUAAUCAGCAACUAUAGACCUCAUUUGGUGCGACAAAUGUCUAACAUUCAGUGAAGUUUAAAUGAGAACAGUAAAAUCACAUCAGCUAAGAGAAACAUGGUUCUGGUUUGUGCCUUGCAGUAAUUUUAGCAAAGAGAAAAUGGGAACAUAAAGUCAGAGAAGCACAUAAAGUCUGGAAGAUAUGAUGGUUAGUGGGCACAAACUAUUUCACAAGAUGAGUGCAGUUCAUGACUUAGAAAAUACUAUGAAAGCCAUAAUAAGUUCCUCUCUGGUUCAGUUCAACUCUCUGGUUAUAGUUCAGUUCAACUAUCUCCUUUAUAAUGCCAUAAUAAGUCUUGUUUCCUAUUAUGACAUUAUCAUUAUCACCCCUUUCAAAGCAUGUCGACUCUGAAACCAGAGCAACCCCACUAUUUUGGACAGACCUCCCCACAUCAUAGGACUCAGUGUGAAAAUCAAAUCCAUUUAUUGUGUAGCUACUAUAUUUUUGUGCACUCAUGAUUGGCGCCUUGGCUAAGAUUUGUAUCUCAUCUGGUACUUCCUCAUAGAUUUCUUCCACCUAAGAUUAGUAAGAAUAUAAUUAUUAAGGUAAAAUGAGCAGUUCAGCUUACAUGACAUGUGUUAAGUUGUCUUCCUACUUACGUGCGACCUAAACCACUCAUGGAAGCAUUCAUGUUGCAUUCGAUUGAUAGCUCGUUGGUUUCGAACACCAAUCGAUGAUAGAUAGUGACCAUACUUUCUGCAAAGGUGAAUUUAUCAUCUUACCAUGCAAGAGAAUCUAAACAUGUGGUUUGAACUGAAACAUAUUACUUACUCCAAGUAAGGCCCUAUAUCCUCAUAGUUGAACAACACAUAUCUGUGUGCUUGCAACCAAGUCUUAUGGUCUAAACUCACUGUGCACUUCCCAGCUAAACCCCGACCAAUGCUAUCAAAGAAAGGGGUUGUAGAAUUUUCAUCUUGCAGCCCUUCAACAUUUCUAAGCGCUCGGCUAUGUAAAUAGUGUCCACAUAGUGUAAGGCUCUCAUAAAACAUUGAACCCUCCAUAAUAGACCCCUCUAGAUGGCUUUUUGUACGAACAUCACCUUUCAACCUCAUCAAAAACCUAUAGAACAUAAAUAUAAUAACAUGAUUAUGUUGUAAAAUAUUACGCAUUUUUUAUAUGUAUGUUGCAAUACACUUACAGAAAUUACCUCUCAAUAGGCCACAUGCUACGGAAAUGUACUGGACCAGCUAGUCUUGCUUGGGCAGGAAGAUGGACCAUCAGAUGUACCAUAAUGUCAAAAAAGGAGGGAAGGAAUAUAGUUUCUAGAAGGCUCAAGGUUUCAGCUAUUUCAGCCUCUAAACUAUCCAUAUCACUUUUGCGGAAAACAGGAGCACAGAUUAUCUUGAAGAAUUGACUAACACGGAUCACUGCAGCACUAACUACUUCUGGCAAUACUUUCCUCACAGCAAGUGGUAGUAAGUGUUGUACAAUGAUGUGGCAUUCAUGACUCUUAAGGCCAAACACCUUUCUCUCAUUAACAUGAACAUUGUGUCGUAUAUCAGAUGCAUAACCAGCAGGAAACUUGACCCCUUUUAGUACUUCACAAAAUAAUUUCUUCUCCUCAGGACUCAUUGAAUAUGGUGCAGGUGGUAAAUAAAAUUGGUCUUCAACAUCAACAGGGUGAAGAUCACUUCUAAUACCUAAAGCCUGAAGGUCUAAGCGAGAAUUCAGAUUGUCCUUAGAUUUUCCAUCGGUGCCUAAGAAUGUAUUAACAAAGUUCUCAUACACAUUUUUUCCUAUGUGCAUGACAUCAAAAUUAUGUCUCAACAUUAAAUCUUUCCAAUAGGGAAGUUUAAACCAAAUAGACCUCCUUUCAAAAAUGACCAAUGGCUCCCCUAACUUGCGUUUCUUCCUUGCCGGUGUCUUUCUAGUUGGAUCCUUGCCAAAAACUGUAACAAUAUCUUUUGUGCAUUCCAACACUUCCUCCCCAGAAAGCGGAGCAGGUGCCUGCCUAAAUUUAGUUGAACCAAACUUAUCAACGUCGAACCUAAAUGGGUGUUUUUCAUCCAAAAACCUACGGUGGCCCAUAUAACAAGUCUUGCUGCCAUUACCAAGUCUGUGUGAACAAGUAUAUGAGUGGCAAUCAGGACACGCUGCUUCACCGGCAGUGACACAACCAGAUGCAUAGCCUAGACCUGGAAAGUCUGUAAUAGUCCACAAGACUGCUGCCCGUAAUUGGAAAUACUCACCCUUCGAAGCAUCAUAUGUUCUAACCCCAUCAACAAACAUAUCUAACAAAUCAUUCACAAGUGGCUGGAGAUAAACAUCCAUAUCACUACCAGGAGCAUGUUUUCCAGGAAUUAGCAAAGACAAUAUGAAAUUUGAUUGCUUCAUACACAUUGAUGGUGGAAAAUUAUAGGGGAUACAGAUACCAGGCCAAAUACUGUAGCUUAUACUUUGGGUCCUAUAAGGAUUGAAACCAUCGGUGGCAAAAGCAAGACGUAUAUUUCUGCUAUCCUCGGCAAACUUAGGAUGUUUAAGAUCAAAGUCUUUCCAUAGAGGAGAAUCUGCAGGAUGUCUAAGAACAUCAUCUCUAGUUCUCUCCUCAUCAUGCCAUCUUGUUAGACUUGCUGUUUUAGAACACAGAAACAGUCUUUGGAGCCUUUUUUUAUCGAAAAGUACCGAAGAACCUUCUUAGGUACCUUGUACACAUGUUUCCCAUCUAGACUCUUCCUAGCUGAUUUCCAACGUGAAACCUUACACUUUGGACAUGAUUCAGAUUUUUCAUGGUCCUUCCAAUACAGAAUGCAAUCAUUUUCACAGGCAUGAAUACUAAUGUACCCAAGUCCUAUGGACUUAAUCAGUUUCUUAGUUUCAUAGUAGUUUCUGGGUAGUGUUGAACCCUUAGGUAAGACCUCAUUAAAUAAAUCUAGUAUAAGGUCAAAACUUUUGACAGUCCAUCCUCCAAGGAGCUUGAUGUGAAGAAGCCUAAUCAGGAAACGCAGUUUUGUGUACUUCUUGCAAUUAGGAAAUAAUUCUUGACUAUUGGCUUCUACCAACUUUUGGAGGUCAACUAGUUCUUUAGGAAGAACAACAGAACUGUUGUCUUCAAAAUCCCCUCUAUCAUCUAAACCACAAGCUAGGUCUCUAAGCAAUGCAGAUAUGUCAUCCUCUUCAUUAGACUCUUCCACAAGUUCAAUACCAUCACCAUUGUCGAUAUUCACAUAAGAGGAACUAGCUUCCCCAUGUAAGUUCCAAGUUGUGUACCCUUUUAGAAACCCAUUACAUAUCAAGUGCUCUCGUAUAUCACUGGAGUCCCUCCAAAAUGAGUUAACACACUUUCUGCAAGGGCAUAAUAUCUUGUCCCCUACCGCUGAAUUUCUAAAUGCAAAAGCUAGGAAACUAUUGACCCCUUGCAAGUAUGUCUUUGUGUGCCUAGCAUCACUAUUGAUCCAUGAUUUAUCCAUGAGUCUUUGUUGGGAGUGACUCUCUGAAUAUAUUUGUUCAGACUACAAAAUUUCAUAAUAGAGAGUAAUUAGAAAUUGAUAAGCAUUAGCAUUUGCAUUGCCCACAGCAAGCAACACAAGUAAAAAGCAGUAGCUAUACAUACAAAGGUAAAUGUGGAAUCCAAGUGUGAUAGAGCAGGAAGACAGGGACACAUCAAUUAUUUCUGGACAUAGAACCCACAAGUGUUAGUUGCAUACCUGAAAUACUUGAAUCUGCAGGCUGCAAACAAUGUGAGCACGACGAUGUCAGUGGAGCAGGUUUGCAACUUGUUGGGAUCCGUGUGGGAGCACCACGGGCAGCCUUGUCGUGUGUCAACCUCGUUGUGGUUCAAUGCAGCACAUCCUUGUUGGGAUUGGUGCAGUAGUAACACUUUGUCAAGCCCUGCUGAGUUUGAAGAACCAAGCAUACAACUUAAGCACACAAAUAUCCAUAGUACAAUGAGCUACUAAAAACGGUGUAAAGCAUAGGCAAAUUCUAAUUGACAUGGGAAUCAAACACAAUUUGGUUAAAAAAUUAUUCUAUGCGGCAACAAGCAGACCUAUAAUAUAAGAAGGAUAGUUUGGACUACUGUUUUGUCAGAGGCAAUUUUGUAAGACAAAUUCACAAUAGGAUGGCACAGUUUCGGCUACUUUAUCUUAUUGUGUAUUUUGUACAACAGUAGAAUGACAACAAGCAGAACAUGAAUAAAUCAUUACAAAAUGAUAAUAAGGUAAGGAGAAGUAGGCUAAAGGCAUCAGAGGCAUCACAUCACCUCGCCUCGGGCUGGGGCAGGCUAAAGGCAUCAGAGGCAUCAGAGUCUCGAUAACCCGCUGACAGAGGGACGACCACGCACAUCGCCUCGGGCUGGGGCGGCUCGAUAACAGAGGGACACGGUCGCUGGGGCGGGGUUCCAUGAGGUGCACGGGCGGUGCGGCCCGCUCACGGCGCGCCUGGCGUCAGCGCAGCGCCGGCUGCGGCGUCUGGCCCGGGCGAUGUGCGGGCGAUGUGCGUGGCGCGGGGCACGGCCGCGGCGGCGCUCGUGGCGGCGUGCGCGGCCGCCGUCGGGGCCGGCGGUGGUGUUCGCGGCGCACGCGGUGGUGGGCGUCGGGGCGGCGGCCGCGGCCGCGGGAGCAGGACCGGCCGAGCGGCGCGCCUGGCGUCCGCGCAGCGCCGGCUGCGGCGUCUGGCCCGGGCGACGUGCGUGGCGCGGGGCACGGCCGCGGCGGCGCUCGUGGCGGCGUGCGCGGCCGCCGUCGUGGCCGGCGGUGGUGUUCGCGGCGCACGCGGUGGUGGGCGUCGGGGCGGCGGCCGCGGCCUCGGGAGCAGGACCGGCCGAGCGACGUGGGAGCAGGACCGGUCCGAGGCACUACGCGCGGCCGCUCCAGGCAGAACAGAUCCGGAGUUCAAAAAAACCUCUCACCUGAAGAAGCGCUCCAGGCAGCUUUCUCAACGAGCGGGGGUGUGGGCAGGGCCUCCUAGCGCAGGAGCUCUAGCCAGCG